rnacentral:misc_RNA from 1 species
GCAAACUUGGUCAUUUAGAGGAAGUAAAAGUCGUAACAAGGUAACCGUAGGUGAACCUGCGGUUGGAUCAUUAAAAAGGUAAGAGCUCAAAGCUCUGUUCCAUAGCAGUCCGUUGCGGGUUUGGACUUGUUCCCCCCCUCAGCGUUGACUUUGCCACGGGUGUCUUUUCUCCUGAAAGGAGAGAAGCAUUCAAACAUCUAUGUGAACUGUUUCUGUCUCUGUCGGGCUUGGCAGCGUCAAACCUGCCGCCAGUGCAUGAGGGUGCAAUACCCUUAUCCCAUGUCUGGCAACCCGACAAAGGACUUCGGUCAACCUAUUUUGUUUAUACACUUUGUCUGUCAUCAAUGUAUCACAAUAUACAUAACAACUUUUGGCAACGGAUCUCUUGGCUCUCGCAUCGAUGAAGAACGCAGC